rnacentral:lncRNA from 10 species
AUCAAUAAUGAUGCCACGAACAUUUGUGUACAAGUUUCUGUACACACACUUGCUUUCAAUUCUCUCUGUUAUAGACCUAGAAGAGGAAUUGCUGGGUCGUAUGAUAUAUCUAUUCUUAACAUUUUGAGGAACUGCCAAAUUAUUUUCCAAAGUGGCUGCACCACUUUACAUUUUCAUCACUGGUGUAUGAGGGUUCUGAUUUUUCCACAUCUCCAUGUGGAAAUUGUUGUUAUCCAUCUUUUUUUUAUAGCCGCCCUGACUGGUGUGAGGUGGUGUCUCACUGUCCCAAUAAUUUCUCAUCUUUAAUGAUGCUACUAUGCUCUCAUGUUAUGCAGAUUUUAAUAUCCAACAACCGUUUUGUUAAAAUCCCAAAAUGGAAAGAAAAGAUCAGUAAAGAACUCUUGAACUUUGGUGCACCAUUCAGAGUUGUCCAUGGAUCCCAAUGCUUGGGAAAAAUGUUUAUUUGAAGGUAUAAUCGUGGAUACUGAAUAAACCACAUAUUAUUACUAUUCAGCAGCAGCUAUUGAGAACAUAUUGGCCACCAAAUGGCUAUUCUAAGUGUCUUAGAGGAAAUUAAAAACACACAGGCUCCUUACUGCCAAGCACUUGUAGAAUUCUGGUACUCAUAAUGAUGGCAAUAAUACUGUUUACAUGCACCUUUACAGAUUAUAUAGGGCUUUGAAAUUUUAAUUCUGAUUUCUGUUCCUGGGGCCGAGAGUUUCAGCAGCCACGUCAUUCAGACCCUAACAUUGUUGUAUUAUAGGGGACUGGGAGAGUUUGGCAGGCUGAAAAACAGUGACCCUCCCAGGUAAUUGCCUCUGACUGCCCUGACCUGCCCACAGAAUCUGGUCUUCAGCUUUGUUAGUUUUCAAAGAGGUGCCAGGAUUCAGGGGGCCCCCAUCCUUGUUAAACCUCCCAGAGACUAACUAGUAAGCCAGGCUGGCUAUAUACGAGCACACUCUGCCCAGAGAAUCAGGAGAGCUGGCUGACAUUCUGUGCAUUCUAUCUUCAGAGGGAAAGUCUCCUGGGAGGCCCCAAGAAUUAAAGAAAAGUGGGUUGGAUGGUUUGCAGAGCCAAGUGACUGAGCUAAGAGCCCCUGAUAGACACAGGUCCGCUCCAAGGCUGUAACCACCAAACAGACAUGAGGAUCAAUAUCGACAGCUGGGAACCCCCCUCCCCACAAAACAGUGCUGAAAUUCUCUCACAAACUCAUCUUUACACUCUUCCAAAAUGCUGAAUCGGUCACCAGAGCUUCCACUAUUACUUCACCUAAUGACCGGCUUAGAAGCCCAACACCUGGUAGGUACUCAACAAGUAAAUGGAUGAGUUGGUGAAUUAAGUUUUAAAAUUACCUUCAUUUGCUACACAUUUAGAUAAGAUUCUGGAGCCAUUCUCCUCUUAGGAGUCAGUCGCACAUUAUUUCUCGGGAUGAGUUAUCUCCUGGGAAGAUUUCCAAAGAAUCAUUCAUUAGAUCACUUUUCACUUAUUUACUCACUAUUCAUCUAACAAACAUUUCCUGAGGGCCUACUACAUACAAGGCUCAACAGCACAUGUAAUGGGGCUUUUAAAAAAUUACAUAUAUAAAUAUACAAAGAAAAAAAGGCAUAUCAAAAUAAAGAACAAAAGAUAUACCAAAAUGUUAACAGUGGUGGGAUCAUUCAUCAUUUUUCUUCCUUCUUUUUGCUUAUUUGCAUUUUGUACAGUGCCCAUGUCUUGUUUAUUUAAAGUGUUCUAAAGCAUUCAAGAUGCAUCUUGCCCUCAAAAAACAUGGAUAGAGUGAGUGGGCAGGAAAUGGGACAAGACAAGCUGAAAAAUGACAACUCUGACACAAGUGCAGACCGUGAUCAUUUCCCUAAGAGGCUUAAAUGCUGUCAGGGUUAAGAGGAAAUUGCGAUGACCUUGACAGAUGAGAGACCAGGUCACAGAGGUACCAUCCUUGAAGCACAGGAGGGUUUCUCCAGGGAGCAGGACCUCAGAGAGUGGGAAGCAUAAAGGUGGGGAGACAACAAGAAGUCUUCACAUUUUCUAUUUUCUCUUCAUUGAGACCAUUUCAGUGACUUUGCUUGCUAUUCACAGGGCUCUGGCUCUCUAACCUCCUACCCCAACAAGGCAAAGGAUCAGGGCUUACCAGGAGGUGGGGAUGCUGGGGGAGGGCAGAGUGGCAGAGGGAACAUCUCUGAUGAGACAUGCUGGGGGAGCCCCACGAUGCUGGAGCACAAUAAUGGGAGCCAAGAAGGAUGGGAAGUCUGAGAAGGAAGUCCAGUCACAUCAUGAUUCCAUGGGCAGGAGAAGUAGCUGGGUACAAAGAGGUAAACUGGAGGGCCCAGUGCGCAGAUAGGCCCCAACAGAGUGGGACCAACCUGGGGGCAUUUAUUAAAAGCCUUUGCCAGCUGGGUGCAGUGGCUCAUGCCUGUAAUCCCAGCACUUUGGGAGGCCAAGGUCGGAGAAUCCCUUGAGACUAGGAGUUUGAGACCAGUCUAGACAACAUAGUGAGACCCCUGUCUCUAUAAAAAAAAUUGAAAAAAUUAGCCAGGCAUGGUGGCACAUACCUGUGGUCCCAGCUACUUGGGAAGCUGAGGUGGGAGCAUCACUUGUGCCCAGCGGUUUGAGACUGCAGUGAGCUCUGAUGACACCACUGCACUACAUACAGCCUGGGU